UUUACAAAUUAAAUCUAUUUAUUUUUAUUUUAUAGUUUACAAUUGUUAUUAAAUAACAUCCUGCCAAACCCGUCUCGCCAAAUCCGUCCCGUAAAAAAAACCCGCCGUACACCACUAAUUUAAAUAUAUAAUUAAAAUAAAUAUUUUAUGGGAUUGCAAUUGUAUUUUAGUUUGUCAAACAAAUAUUUGUUUUAAAUAGUUGCCAAAAUCUAGUUCAAAUUUUGGAGAAAAAAGAUUUAUUGGAUAGAUAAAGAAUGUAUUUAGGUGUGUUUUGUUCAUUUUAAGGGAUUGCAAUUAUAUUUUUGUUUGUCAAAUAUUUAUUGUUUUAAAUAGUUGCUGAAUACUAUGUGCGUGACAUAUGAGAUUGGAAUAUAUUUGGAAUAUUUUUAGUUUGUUAAUC
rnacentral:sRNA from 1 species